UAGAUAUUGAAAUAAAAUAUUGUUAUUUAUAAGGGACUAUUGGGGCGUUACAAAUUUUUCUGCAGCACUUAGCUCUCACACUUCUGACUGAUAUUCGGCUUUGAUACCAAAUGUAACAACUCGACCCGCUAGUAAUAAUAAUUUGUUGAGUCCAAACAAUCAGCCCAAAGUAUUUAUAUUCAGUUAUUAUUACUAAUGUGUAGACCUUACAUAAACAGAUUUGAAUCAGUAUUCCAUUCGAUAUAAAAUUAUUGGGGCGUUACAGAUCGAUAGCUUAUUAGUUGAGCAAUUGAUCCGUAGAGAUUGAAAAUACGGAUGUGUCAUAAA
rnacentral:lncRNA from 1 species